rnacentral:rRNA from 1 species
ACUGCUCAGUAACACGUGGAUAACCUGCCCUUGGGUCCGGCAUAACCCCGGGAAACUGGGGAUAAUUCCGGAUAACGCACAUAUGCUGGAAUGCUUUAUGCGUAAAAUGGAUUCGUCUGCCCGAGGAUGGGUCUGCGGCCUAUCAGGUAGUAGUGGGUGUAAUGUACCUACUAGCCUACGACGGGUACGGGUUGUGAGAGCAAGAGCCCGGAGAUGGAUUCUGAGACAUGAAUCCAGGCCCUACGGGGCGCAGCAGGCGCGAAAACUUUACAAUGCGGGAAACCGUGAUAAGGGGACACCGAGUGCCAGCAUCCUAUGCUGGCUGUCCGGGUGUGCAAAAUACACCUGUUAGCAAGGGCCGGGCAAGACCGGUGCCAGCCGCCGCGGUAACACCGGCGGCCCGAGUGGUGAUCGUGAUUAUUGGGUCUAAAGGGUCCGUAGCCGGUUUGGUCAGUCCUCCGGGAAAUCUGACAGCUUAACUGUUAGGCUUUCGGAGGAUACUGCCAGACUUGGAACCGGGAGAGGUAAGAGGUACUACAGGGGUAGGAGUGAAAUCUUGUAAUCCCUGUGGGACCACCUGUGGCGAAGGCGUCUUACCAGAACGGGUUCGACGGUGAGGGACGAAAGCUGGGGGCACGAACCGGAUUAGAUACCCGGGUAGUCCCAGCCGUAAACGAUGCUCGCUAGGUGUCAGGCAUGGCGCGACCGUGUCUGGUGCCGCAGGGAAGCCGUGAAGCGAGCCACCUGGGAAGUACGGCCGCAAGGCUGAAACUUAAAGGAAUUGGCGGGGGAGCAC